UUUGUACUCCCUCCGUUCGGAAUUACUUGUCUCGAAAAUGGAUGUAUCUAGAACUAAAAUACAUCUAGAUACAUCCAUUUUGGCGACAAGUAAUUCCGAAUGGAGGGAGUACAAU
rnacentral:pre_miRNA from 1 species